GUUUAUGCUUUCUAGGGUUCCGCGGAUGGUUCCGGCCUGGUCCGAGAGAAGGCGCACAGAACUGCUCUGUGACACGGAGGGAUAAAAGCCCGGGAGAU
rnacentral:sRNA from 1 species